UCCAGCCUGAUGUUGGAAAGCCAUUGUGGAAAUUUCGCUCUUUUUCUAUAGCCAAUGAUAAAAAGGCCCCCACACAAUGUAAUGACAUGAGCAGCGGUGUACAGGAAAUUCUCCUUCAUUGUGAGCCUGCAAGUUUGCAAGAAGCACAUCAACCCCGUCAGCAAGCUUCUGUAGCACAAAGACACUUCUUCAACAGGAUGCUUGUUAUCUGCACUAUGAUGUGGCUGAAUUAUUUCUUAUCAUCUUUAGCGUAUUUCCGGCCAUUUGCUGCUGUGUUGAUCCAAAAUCCUCAAGGGAGCUGUUAAAGCCUCUUCCUUUUUUCAAAGCUGGGCUUGUGAUAUGAGCACUUGUGUUGUAAAAGCACAAAUUUUGUGCUUAAUGUUGUUAUAAAAUCAACAUUUAAAAAACCCUA